UCUGAUUAAGGAAACAGGAUCAAAGGAGCAUCCUGCUGCUGUCAAAUCAAAAGUAGAUGAUCGUGCUGAAAAUUUUGCAGAAAUGAAGAAAAACAUCUCUUUUCCAUAACAGUAACACAAUCUUACAGCAUGAUUCUGUCAUAAGCAGUAUGAGACAGGCAGGAAUGGAAGACACAAAAUGCAAACUCGGGGAGGCAAGCUAAGCUCAAAGGCAGCUUUAUUGCUGAACUAAAACAAUACAGAAACCAAUCUGUAAGGAACUGACACUAGACAAGCAGGCAGAACACACAGCGGCGCAUGAAGGAUAACGCAAUGCUAGACGGAGGGGUGUACUAAAAAUGCAUUAGAGGGAUUUAGGGCAAAGAGGAAACACCCGGGAACACGGCUGAAAACAAUCAACUGAUGAGACAAAGAAAGCACAGCUGAACAUGGUACACACAGAACAAGAGACUUUCAAACUAAAACAGGAAGUACGAGACACACACACUGAGACGCAGACUGAAAAAAAGAGGGAGGAUAGAGAGGGCGAGAGAAACCAGACAGACACACAGAGACAGGAAACAGCAAUUAGACGAACAUGAAGACUGACCUAACUGGGGGAAAGCUGAAGGAAGGACACAAAGACGAGACAAAGACAUAAACUGUCUGAAAUAACAACCAGGUCAAUUAAACUAGAAGUACUGAAUGAACUCAAGGGUGUAAGCAAACUAAACUAGGAAAUAUAAAAUGGACAGAGAACAUAAUGAAUAAACAAGACACCAAAACACAGUAAACACAAAACACUGGGUCAAUGGGCUAAGAACCCUAACGGAUACAGCUUACAACCCCACAAACUCCUGAAAUAAUAAUGAUUCAUGUUAUAAAUGUGAAGAUGGCUGGAAGCAACAUGAAGGAAAGUGCUAUUAUUUCUCCACAAGAAAAUCAUCCUGGGAUCAGAGCAGAACUGAAUGUAGGACUAAAGGAGGAGACCUGGUUAAGAUAGACAGCAGUGAGGAGCAGAGUUUCUUGAAGACAAAAAUUGAAUAUGGGAGCCAUUUCUGGAUCGGACUGACAGACUCAGCAGAAGAGGGCAGAUGGCUGUGGGUGGACGGCUCACCACUGAAUGAAAGGUUGGCAUCUUGGUCCUUUCUUGAGCCAGACGAUUGGAAUGGAGAGGAUUGUGUGAAGAUGGGGCGAAUGUAUUGGUUUGAUAAUUCCUGCAAAGUAAAUCAUGGAAGUAUUUGUGAGAAACCAGCUGUGGUUCUGUGUGACUAAAAUUCAGUUCAGCAUAAAAACAGUGAAAGUAAAGGACACAUUGAGACCAUUUUUAUAAAGCUAAUGCUGCAAACAUUUAAAGCUUCCAUUCAGAAAUGUUUAAAGAAAAAAAAUAUAGACACUGUUUAUAAUGAAAUAAAUGUGAAUUAUUA